GUUGUAGGUGAUAGACCUCUCAGCUCGCUCAGGGGGGUUGGCAUUGGUUUGUUUGGUUUUAGCCUACGGCUACAAUUAGACCUUUGAUGGCUCAGAAGAGCUUGAUAAACUCGGCCUUGCUCAGAUGAUCUUUGGCCUCAGUCUCUUGGUUUGCUCUAUAGAAUUUCUUCAUCGCAUCACUCCUACAAAAGAAAAGGAAGACACAAGUUGGGGGGUCUAGUAUUUGAAAGAAGACAUAUCCUAAAUAUCUUAGAAGGGUUUCCUAACUAAAACCUCAGUUGUAAGGGGAUUAUUCUAUGUAAUUGCUCUGAUACCAUUUGUGACAUCCCAAAUGCUAAUUAAAGUAUAAGGGUGCUAGAUACAGAAACAUAUUACAAGUGCCUAGAGAUAAAAUGUAUGCAGCGAAAUAAAUAAUUACAAAAUAAUAAUAGAGUU
rnacentral:lncRNA from 1 species